rnacentral:rRNA from 1 species
CGGGUGAGUAAUGCCUAGGAAUCUGCCUGGUAGUGGGGGACAACGUUUCGAAAGGAACGCUAAUACCGCAUACGUCCUACGGGAGAAAGCAGGGGACCUUCGGGCCUUGCGCUAUCAGAUGAGCCUAGGUCGGAUUAGCUAGUUGGUGAGGUAAUGGCUCACCAAGGCGACGAUCCGUAACUGGUCUGAGAGGAUGAUCAGUCACACUGGAACUGAGACACGGUCCAGACUCCUACGGGAGGCAGCAGUGGGGAAUAUUGGACAAUGGGCGAAAGCCUGAUCCAGCCAUGCCGCGUGUGUGAAGAAGGUCUUCGGAUUGUAAAGCACUUUAAGUUGGGAGGAAGGGCAUUAACCUAAUACGUUAGUGUUUUGACGUUACCGACAGAAUAAGCACCGGCUAACUCUGUGCCAGCAGCCGCGGUAAUACAGAGGGUGCAAGCGUUAAUCGGAAUUACUGGGCGUAAAGCGCGCGUAGGUGGUUUGUUAAGUUGGAUGUGAAAGCCCCGGGCUCAACCUGGGAACUGCAUCCAAAACUGGCAAGCUAGAGUACGGUAGAGGGUGGUGGAAUUU